rnacentral:lncRNA from 1 species
CAUCUGUUUGUUCUUCUUCUUGCUCUUUCUUAUAGAGCUCUAGAGUAAUGAAGAAGAUCAAAAAGGAAGCACUAAAGAAAGAUCUCUGAUUGAAGAUUUAGAGAGCAGAUUCUGAUCAAAGGGAUUACAGUACUAUUGAGUUCAUCAAAUUCACUCUACGUCUCUGUACAUUUUCCUCAGCCCUUUUAUACUUCAACUAUUACUUCUCGAACUACCUUUACAACAGACUUUAACAACUUUUAUUAACAGAACAAUUAAUCCUAGCCAUUCGUGUAGCUUCUUCAGUGACUUGAUCUUCCUGGUUUAAUCUGUUGUAUAACCAGACUCUUCACAGGGAUUGCCAACUCAGCUUGGAUCAAGGAUUGCCAGCUCAGUCUUCAGUUUACCCUUCCGAGCUUGCUCUGUUUUUGUCAGGUUAGCUUCUCUUCCUUUAUCAGCUUCUCUGUUCUGACUUUGUUUCUUAACAUAGCGGUACCGCGAAAUGGUCGGCCAUCUCGCACAACCUCUUAGUCACAUCGACUGAGAGGUCCUCAACAUGGCAGUCGACAGCAAAGCGAAGCCACGGACUGAGCUUAGGCGCACAACGGUCGAGAAAAUCGAUGUCGAUGUGGAACUUCCUCACCUUAGGCAACGCCUAGAGGAUCAAGACGCUGUCCAUGGACGGGGAGCGUUCCACCAGGGGAAGGAGAAGACGAGGUCCGGGGCGGCGGUCCAGAGGAAUCGCCAUAGCUUCGACAAAAACGCACGUGCGGACAAUGUGUGCGAGGUCGAGGAACGAGAAGAUGUGGUGGAUCACCGAGUCGGGGCAAGCUGGCUGAUGCUAUCGGCAUCGUCGCCUAGGGUUUCGCACCGACAAGAGGAGGAGGUAGGCGACUGCUUCUUCUUCGCCAUGUGGGGAUCGACGAUUGAACGGAGGAAAUGGGAGGGGAGCCUCCUCCGAUUUCAGGGUUCAUUUCACUCGGACUUAAGUUUCUGGCUUCCAGUAGAGCGACACGUGUCACUCGACGGAAAGCAACCACUUUCCCGCAUCUUUUAAUACAUCUACGAGCCUAUGAUGAUGGGCCUUGCACGUCUUGAAUUGCCAAGUGUCUCCGACAUCUAAUAAAUCAUCAUUCAUAUAAUAAUCGACUUCGAAGAAGAUUGAGUAGGCGUACAUAAGUGAGCUUGAGCCCGUGAAAGAAAAUGUUUGCUGGAGUCCGCUUGAUUUGCGAUAUCACGUUUGAGUGCUCCACUUAUGUAGUGGUAUACAUAUAUAAUUAGUGAAACUUUGCAAACAUCUAUCCCAAAAAAAAAAAAAAAAACAGAUAAAAUAAAAAUUAAUCAUAAAUAGCUUUUACGAGAUAAUUGUUUAGCUUAAAUUAUAUUCAUAAUCAAAGUAAGAUAUCUUAUGAGCUCGAAAAAUAGCAAAUGAAUGCUUCAAUUUCUUGAACUACAUUGGCUCGAAUGCAAGGAAUGAUAACCCAAGCAAUUCAUGAAGUUCGAAGGUCUAGGAUGGACAUGUUCUCUUAUUUUCAUAUUGGCUAUCAAGAAUGCAAACCAAAGAAGACUUUCCUCGCCUUACCACCAUGCCAAAUGCAAGACUAUUGGCAUCCACAUUGUGCGUCUCUAUUUAGAUGGCAACUCCAUGAUUCUACUAAUUAAGGUUGUUGAGCUUAUGGCUUAAGUUCUAGCCAACUUGAAUUUGGAUUGAAGCUCGGAGAUUAAAAUAAGUCGGAGACGUGUUAAAGGCAAUCUAGGCAUGUGGCAAAGCUAUGUAGAGAGGAUCAGGUGCUCGAGUCCCGUCGCGCUACCAGCUGAAUGACAGCACUGGGUAUCGUCCAAGCUCAUGGGCAUGUGGACACCCGAAUAAAUAACAUCGUCAGUAUUUGAUAUUUUGUUUCCUAGGGAAACGAAAACUGCUAAUUGAAUAUGUUCCCCAUUGCAAUGGUUGGAAAUUUGAUUUUUAUGAAGAUGAUGAAUUUUCUUAAUUUGUGUGGAGCAGAUUGAUUCAUCCUCCAUAUAGAAAAUACUAGGGGUGUUAAUCAUAAGUUUUUGAAAGUGAAAUCAAAUCCAACCAAACUAAAAGUGGCAUCAGCUUGGCUUCGAAAGAUACCAUGAAAGAGGUCCAUAGCAUAAAGGAAGAUUCUACAAGGUAAAAAUCUAAAGAGUGUUCUAUGUACGUAAAAUGCAAAUAACAUUGGAAAAUAUCAAAACCGUUUGAUAACAAAAUGCUGAUCAAUAACUUAUUCAGUCAUUAACAUUUUGGUAAGUUACCAAAACUUUUAAGAAAAUACCAAUAGUUAAUAUAUUAUCAUUGACAUUUGAAUCUUCCUGAUGGUUAAAAUUAGAAAAAUUCGAGAUUCAAGAUCCCGAUCGCAGCGAGACUUGUCAAAUAGAUAGAGAAAGCACCGUAAAGAUCAAUUAGUGAGGUUUUGGGCUGAUGCAAUAAGAAUUGCUUACUUACUUAUGUCGUGAUAGAAUAUAGAAGUUAUGAAUCCAUUUGACCUAAAAAUUUUUUAUUAGUAUCACUUUGUUGGUCAAACCAAAGAAUCGACCUUUCCGGAAAUUAUUGUUUCACUAGCCUUAAUCUUUUUCCGACAUUCGAUUUAGCCGCGACCACCCAAAAUCUGUUGGGAGAAUAAAACGUAAUCUUUUCCCAUCUUCGUUUUACGUUCAAGGUGGGAGGUGCCACAAGAUAGAUGGUCCAUGAGCCUCUCCAUCAUUCCCCUCGACGCCAUUAGUUGCCAUAGCCGCUUGCCCUUGUUAUUGCCGAGCCGCCCUUUCCUGCUCUAUCUGUUGCUCCAUUCCAUGCCUUCCCCAUCAUGAAAACCGAAGAGCCCAGAUCUCGUCCGGAGACUCCCUCGCCGGUCGUUGCUUUCUCCAACUUCUCCCUCCAUGUAUACAUGUAUGCAGCAUAGCUUGAGAUAUAUCCUAUUCACAAGUAAGUUAAAUUUCCAACAACGAACUUGAUUAAUCAAAAUGAUGCGAUGAAAUGCCCCUUUGUAAUCAGAAGAAGAUAAAUUAACUUCAAGUAAUACAAAAUGUGCAAAACUUUCCAGACUACACUCUACAUUUUAACAAUACAGAAUGUGAGAAAUCCUUGUAGGGAAUGCUCAAUCUGUACAAGAAGACGAAGAAGAGGAGACAGAAGUAAUAUUACGCUCAAUCAGUACAAGAGAGGAAGAGCGGAGCCAAAAGUAAUAUUACAGCACGAGAGUCACUAACAGAAAUUGAAGGAAAACUAUAUAGAUGCCCGACGGCAUUGAGAUCGUAUUUUGCAGGGGUUAAACCUGCCAACUCCAAGUGGGCAUCAAGCAUUUCUACAUUGGACAUAACUAGUCUAUCUAGCAUAAACAACAUUCCCUCCAAUUCAAGUUCUUUAUCUUCACGAACACUUUGACUGGUGUACUGAAAAGGGCAACAAGAUGGCAAUACAGGAGUAGGGUACACUUCCAGUUGGUCUAGAUGAUUGUCAGUUAUGUUAUGGAAAUCUCCAAAGGCACCAAUGUUGUCUAAAAGUUGAUAGAAAUCUAUUGCGCCUGUAAAUUAAAAUCCCUCCAUUCAACUAGUAUCAGCUUGGGAUUCUUUAUUUCCAACUAUGUCAUCUCCAAAUUUUCCCUCCCAUUACCAUCAUUCACUCUUAAUUUUUGUGUAAAACACCAACUCCUUAGUUAUGUCAUGUUCUCAUUUAGAAUUCCAAGCACUUAACCUCUAUAUUCACCAACUCUCCAUCAAAUGCAAUUUGAACAGGAUUGGCAAUUGAAGUGAUUUAUUUGGGGAAAAGGACCGUAGCACAUUUAACGAAAAGCAAAUGGGGAAUAAGGCCAACGUGCAUGCAGAGUCAGAACUUGCAAUUGGGCAAAGAAAAUGGCACACCUUGUGCCUCUGCCGCAAGUGAUAAAACCUAAGCACAUUCAAAAAUUGAAAGGCAAAAGAAUAAGAUUAUUUACUCUUCCUUCCAAAUACAGUUUAAAAAACCCAGCAAGUGUAUGCUUUGAGAACACUUUUGGUUCCCACCUAUAUGACAUAUGCUUUGAGAACACUUUUGGUUCCCACCUAUAUGACAAAUUGAGUACUAAUUCUAGUCAACAACUGCUUCUUCAGUCUUUAAAAAACAGGACACAGCAACUUUUCAUUGAUAAUUUACUAUGAUCUUUCGAAAGAUAGUUAUGCACUACUGAGCAGGAAAAAGAAUGACCCUAAACCAGCUGCCUUUUCUUAGGUUUUUCAGUAGUUAUUCUAAAGGCACGAUGUGUAUUUGCACUAGUGGUCAUCAGGCAGAGUAGCAAACGAUACAACCAGAUUCCUCGUGGUGAAGUUUGGAAUGAAUUUCCUUAACUCGAGGAAGAGGGAAGAAUGAAUUAUCCAUAGGUAUGAACCAAACGAGUUAAAUUUGAAAUCAAAAACAAUCUGCUCACCUGAAGGCACCAACUACCAAUCAAAAGCUUAGUCGCGUUCUGCAACUUCUGAAGCAGUCCCUCAACCAGGUUGCAAUACCCUCUGUAAGACUCCAACCGAUUUUGAACAAAACAAUCAGUUGGCCUUCCAAAAUCCUCACCUCUCAUAAAAAAGUUCGACUCUGCUUCAAUCAAGGAUUGAGACUUCCGUUACCAGCUGCCUCAUCAUACCAGAAAAUCCUCCCAAACAGCAACAGAGGACUUGAAAUCUCCAAGGGGAAGCCCUCAUCAAGUGCAUACCGAAAGCAGCCAUUGCCCGCAAUUUCCCUCGAAGUUCUCGAACAAACCUUGAUGGUUCGCUUUAAACCGUAGCAACCUUCCAAACUAAGGUUCUCGAGAACAGGGCUGCCAUUCGACAUCUCAUGCAUCACCUCCGAGUCACAGAUGGACAGGGACCUAACAUUAAUCCAAGCGAUACUUCUACUCAACGAGAAGCAACAGAGCCCUGAGUGCAGGUUCACCAACGAAGAGCAUCCAUAAAAGGAGCAGCGGUACUGCAAAAUGGCCGGCCAUCUGUCACAGCCUCUUAGUCGCAUCGACUGAGAGGUCCUCGACACGGCGGUCGACAGCAAAGCGAAGCCACGGACUGAGCUCAGGCGCGCAACGGUCGAGAAAAUCGGCGUCGAUGUGGAACUUCCUCACCUUGGGCGACGCCUAGAGGAUCAAGACGCCGUCCACGGACGGGUAGGCGUUCCGCCAGGGGGAGGAGAAGACGAGGUCCGGGGGCGGCCGUCCAGACGAAUCGCCACCGCUUCGACAAAAACGCACGUGCGGACAAUGCGUGCGAGGUCGAGGAACGAGAAGAUGUGGUGGAUCACCGAG